rnacentral:lncRNA from 1 species
CGGCGGAGCGGACCAGCGGACAUUUUGUUUUUUGUUUCAUGUGGUUGUGGUUUUAUGUUUGUGAUUUCACUGAAUUCUGAAUGCAGGCAUAUUCUCCCGAAAAAAUGAUCUAUAAUCAUAAUCAAACUAUUGAAUUUAUAUUUACGUGGCAUUGUGUCGUCGAUAACAAUGAAUAGUGGACCACAGCACCCCAAGGAACUAGUGUGCUGUCCUCUACCCUGGUGCACACAUGUGGUAUUUAGUCCGUUUGCCUGAUCCAGACACCCGUGAAGCUGAGCGAAUCAAUCAUGAACACUCAACUGUCAACCCACUAAAACCCUCCUGAUUCCAGCUGCGGACAACCAGUACGUAUUUUUAGCAAACGUUAUAUUGGCUGCCCUCUGCUAACCCUAUCUCUACUCUACGUAGGUGAAGCUGACUACGGAGUAGUCUUUCUUUUAAUUUAUUCCAGAAGCCAGUAACACAUGUGUACAAGUACGAGUACUUUGUACAAAAAAAUUAUAUAAAAAAUUAAAAUAAAAGGAUGUACAGUGCACCGAUUCUAAACGUCCGGUGGGGAUGGCAUCUAUGUGCCCUAUUAUAGUCCGUGUAUGAGAGUAUUCUAAAUAAUGAAAUAACACAUUUUAUAUUAUUUGUUUUUUCAUUAAUACGAAUACUUUCUCACACACCAACUAUAAUAUGGCACAUGGACUCCAUCCCCCACUGGCCCGUUUAUAAUCUGUGUAAGUGUAUAUAACUAAAAUAAAACAAGAUGAAAAUAAGUAUUGAUCAAAACAGUGCAAAGAUAAAAGUGUAUAGAUACAAGAUUAUAAGUAAAAUAU